GACAGAGGGUGCAAACGUUGUUCGGAUUUACUGGGCGUAAAGCGCGUGUAGGCGGCUUUGCAAGUCGGAUGUGAAAGCCCACGGCUCAACCGUGGAAGUGCAUCCGAAACUGCAUGGCUGGAGUCCCGGAGAGGAAGGUGGAAUGCUUGGUGUAGAGGUGAAAUUCGUAGAUAUCAAGCAGAACACCUGCGGCGAAGGCGGCCUUCUGGACGAUGACUGACGCUGAGACGCGAAAGCGUGGGGAGCAAACAGG
rnacentral:rRNA from 1 species